rnacentral:rRNA from 1 species
CAGCGCCACGAGUGGCAAUCGCGUUUAUUGGGCCUAAAGCGUCCGUAGCAGGUUUUGUAAAUCUCUUGUGAAAUUGUCUCGCUUAACGAGACAGGGUGCAGGAGACACUGCAAGACUUGAGACCGGGAAGGGUAAGAGGUAUUCCUGAGGGAGCGGUAAAAUGCUAUAAUCUCAGGAGGACCACCUGUGGCGAAGGCGUCUUACUAGAACGGAUCUGACUGUGAGGGACGAAAGCUAGGGGAGCAAACCGGAUUAGAUACCCGAGUAGUCC